AUUGAACGCUGGCGGCAGGCCUAACACAUGCAAGUCGAGCGGAUGAAGGGAGCUUGCUCCUGGAUUCAGCGGCGGACGGGUGAGUAAUGCCUAGGAAUCUGCCUGGUAGUGGGGGAUAACGUCCGGAAACGGGCGCUAAUACCGCAUACGCCCUGAGGGAGAAAGUGGGGGAUCUUCGGACCUCACGCUCUCAGAUGAGCCUAGGUCGGAUUAGCUAGUUGGUGGGGUAAAGGCCUACCAAGGCGACGAUCCGUAACUGGUCUGAGAGGAUGAUCAGUCACACUGGAACUGAGACACGGUCCAGACUCCUACGGGAGGCAGCAGUGGGGAAUAUUGGACAAUGGGCGAAAGCCUGAUCCAGCCAUGCCGCGUGGGUGAAGAAGGUCUUCGGAUUGUAAAGCACUUUAAGUUGGGAGGAAGGGCAGUAAGUUAAUACCUUGCUGUUUUGACGUUACCAACAGAAUAAGCACCGGCUAACUUCGU
rnacentral:rRNA from 1 species